rnacentral:misc_RNA from 1 species
GAUGAAGAACGUAGUGAAAUGCGAUAAGUAAUGUGAAUUGCAGAAUUCAGUGAAUCAUCGAAUCUUUGAACGCACAUUGCGCCCGCCAGUAUUCUGGCGGGCAUGCCUGUUCGAGCGUCAUUACAACCCUCAGGCCCCCGGGCCUGGCGUUGGGGAUCGGCGGAAGCCCCCUGUGGGCACACGCCGUCCCUCAAAUACAGUGGCGGUCCCGCCGCAGCUUCCAUUGCGUAGUAGCUAACACCUCGCAACUGGAGAGCGGCGCGGCCAUGCCGUAAAACACCCAACUUCUGAAUGUUGACCUCGAAUCAGGUAGGAAUACCCGCUGAACUUAAGCAUAUCAAUAAGCGGAGGA